GACGAACGCUGGCGGCGUGCUUAACACAUGCAAGUCGAACGGAAAGGCCCCUUUGGGGGUACUCGAGUGGCGAACGGGUGAGUAACACGUGAGUAACCUGCCCUGACUUCGGGAUAACUUCAGGAAACUGGGGCUAAUACCGGAUAGGAAUCCUUGCUGCAUGGUGGGGGUUGGAAAGCUUCGGCGGUUUUGGAUGGACUCGCGGCUUAUCAGCUUGUUGGUGGGGUAGUGGCUUACCAAGGCGUUGACGGGUAGCCGGCCUGAGAGGGCGACCGGCCACAUUGGGACUGAGAUACGGCCCAGACUCCUACGGGAGGCAGCAGUGGGGAAUAUUGCACAAUGGGCGGAAGCCUGAUGCAGCAACGCCGCGUGCGGGAUGACGGCCUUCGGGUUGUAAACCGCUUUCAGCAGGGGCGAAGCUUGUGGUGACGGUACCUGCAGAAGAAGCACCGGCUAACUACGUG
rnacentral:rRNA from 1 species